GCCAGGCUCAGUGGUGCAUACCUGUAGUCCCAGCUACUGGGGAGGCUGAGGUGGUAGGAUCGCUUGAGCCAAGGAGUUCUGGGCUGUAGUGUGAUAUGCCCAUCAGGUGUCCACACUAAGUUCGGCAUCAAUAUGGUGACCUCCCGGGAGCAGGGACCACAGGUUGUCCAAGGAGGGGUAAACCAGCCCAGUUAAGAAACAGAGGAGGUCAAAACUCCCAUGCUGAUCAGUAGUGGGAUUGCGCCUGUGAAUAGCCACUGCCCUCCAGCCUGGGCAAUAUAGCAAGACCCUGUCUAU
rnacentral:SRP_RNA from 1 species